rnacentral:tRNA from 2 species
GGGCCGUUAGCUCAAUUGGCAGAGCAGCGGACUUUUAAUCCGUUGGUUGUGGGUUCGAGUCCCACACGGCCUAC